rnacentral:rRNA from 1 species
UACGUAGGGUGCAAGCGUUGUCCGGAAUAUUGGGCGUAAAGAGCUCGUAGGCGGUUUGUCGCGUCUGCUGUGAAAACUCGGGGCUCAACUCCGAGCUUGCAGUGGGUACGGGCAGACUAGAGUGCGGUAGGGGAGAUUGGAAUUCCUGGUGUAGCGGUGGAAUGCGCAGAUAUCAGGAGGAACACCGGUGGCGAAGGCGGGUCUCUGGGCUGACACUGACGCUCAUGCACGAAAGCGUGGGGAGCAAACAGG